AACUGAAGAGUUUGAUCAUGGCUCAGAUUGAACGCUGGCGGCAGGCUUAACACAUGCAAGUCGAGCGGGGGAAGGUGGCUUGCUACCGGACCUAGCGGCGGACGGGUGAGUAAUGCUUAGGAAUCUGCCUAUUAGUGGGGGACAACAUCUCGAAAGGGAUGCUAAUACCGCAUACGUCCUACGGGAGAAAGCAGGGGAUCUUCGGACCUUGCGCUAAUAGAUGAGCCUAAGUCGGAUUAGUU
rnacentral:rRNA from 1 species